rnacentral:rRNA from 1 species
CCUACUGGAGGCAGCAGUGGGGAAUCUUGCGCAAUGGGCGGAAGCCUGACGCAGCGACGCCGCGUGCGGGACGAAGGCCUUCGGGUCGUAAACCGCUUUCAGCAGGGACGAGGCCCUCACGGUGACGGUACCUGCAGAAGAAGCCUCGGCUAACUACGUGCCAGAGGCCGCGGCAAUAGGCGGGGUGCGAGCGUUAUCCGGAUUCAUUGGGCGUAAAGCGCGCGUAGGCGGCCUGUUAGGUCGGGGGUAAAAUACCGGGGCUAAACCCCGAGCCGCCCCCGAUACCGGCAGGCUUGAGUGUAGUAGGGGAAGGCGGAAUUCCCGGUGUAGCGGUGGAAUGCGCAGAUAUU